CCACAGGCAGGGACCCCUUCCACUGGAGCAGCUUGCUCCAAGCCCCUGUGUCCAACCUGGCCUUGAGCACUGCCAGGGAUGGGGCAGCCACAGCUUCUCUGGGCACCCUGUGCCAGCACCUCAGCACCCUCACAGGGAAGAGCUUCUGCCUAAGAGCUCAUCUCAGUCUCCCCUCUGGCAGGUUAAAGCCAUUCCCCUUGGCCUGUUACUGUUUGAGACCCAUUUUCUGUCUGAGCUCCCUCAGUCCCAGGCACAUCCUGUGUCUCAUGUUCUACACCAUGGGCUUGCACAGCCCCAGCACAGCGGCCCCCGGCUGCAACUCACCAAAGCCUGGUCCUUGGAUGCUUUGUGCUUGCUGAGAAUAAAGGUAUCUGGGUGGUCACAUU